rnacentral:rRNA from 1 species
UCUGGGAUUAGAUACCCUGUUAUUAAAAAUGUAAAUUUAAAUAUUAAGGUAGUAUUAGUUAUGUUCUUUAAACUUAAAAAAUUUGGCGGUAUUUUAAUCUAUUCAGAGGAACCUGUUCUGUAAUCGAUAAUCCACGAUGGACCUAACUUAAAUUUGUAAUCAGUUUAUAUACCGUUGUUAUUAAAAUAUUUUAUUAGAAUGUUAAUUUUUUUAAUUUUUUAUUAGAAAAUAUAUCAGAUCAAGGUGUAGCUUAUAUUUAAGUAGAAAUGGGUUACAAUAAAUUUAUUUAUGGAUAUAAAUUUGAAAUAUUUAUUGAAAAUGGAUUUGAUAGUAAAAUUAUAAAGAUAAAUAAUUUGAUUAUAGUUCUAAAAUAUGUACAAAUCGCCCG